rnacentral:misc_RNA from 1 species
UGGUGUCAAAGAGAUACCGGUAACCGGCCGGCUGUCAGUGUCACUUCCUAUUUCGAAAGCCCAGCCCUCAAGAUGGAUCAGUCUACUUUAGAUUAUAUAGCCAACACGUUAGACAUCAAGUACAAAGUCACAGACAAUGUAGAGGCAAGGAAAACAUACAUAGCCAAAAUGAUCUUAACUAAUACAGGUGACGUCCCAUUAACUGGAAAAGGAAAGUGGGCUAUUUACUUCUGUCAUAUCCGCAUGUUGGAACCCCAGACACUUCCGGAUGCCGAUCAGAUUUGUAUGAAAAAUUAUGGUGUCAAGUUUUGCCAUGUAAACGGAUGUCUUUUCACACUGGAACCUUUAAAAUCAUUUAAAACUUUAAACAAAGAUGAAAGUCUAGAGAUCACAUUUACAGCCGAGUACUACUCUGUUGCUAGAUCAGAUCUGAUGCCUAACUGGUACAUAACAUGUAAGGAUCUGAUACCAACGAUUAUACAGAGUACACAGGGAGAAGAACUUGGCUACAUUUUGCCAUUUGACACUCCAGAAAGCUGGAAAAGACAUAGAUGGGACGAGUAUGAUCCAUUUACCCCAGAAGUAAGGUACGAGAAGAACAACGUGGAAGAUUUGGGCAAGGCUGGAUGCCUUGUGACACCUACACCUUACCGCCUCACAUUGAUCAGCGAUGGAACAUUGGACCUCUCAAAACAACCAUGGUGCAUAGUGGCCUCCCAGGAUGUGAUGCAGGAAGCUGAGUUCCUUCUAGAAAAGUCUGCUUCAGUCAAACUUGAUCUUCAAACCAAUAAGAUUCUAAAACCUGACCAGAAUCAUGCAAUAUCGCUAAAAAUUGGUCCAGUCACAGAAAAUGGGGAAGAAAGCAACAAAAGUGCUGGCAUGGAUGCCUAUGAAUUAACUGUGAAACUUGAAGAAAAAGUCAUAGAAGUCAUUGGUAGUUCUGCCAGAGGAGUAUUCUAUGGUGUUCAGACUCUCAUUUCCUUACUUGAAAGAUGUGAGGUGCCACAUGUUCACAUUGUGGACUUUCCGAGGUACUCUUACCGAGGAAUGCAUUUGGAUGUGUCGCGCAACUUUCAUAAAAAGGAGUCGGUACUCAAACUGCUAGAGGUUAUGGCCAUGUACAAGAUGAACAAGUUUCACUUUCAUCUGACUGACGAUGAAGGUUGGCGUCUGGAAAUCCCAGGUCUGGAGGAACUGACCUCUGUUGGAAGUCGUAGAGGUCAUGACCUUGAGGAGAAGACAUGUAUCCUUCCCAUGUUAGGAUCAGGCCCUAACUUUGAUACGUCGGGUUCUGGUUAUUACUCGGUAGAGGACUACAAGGAAAUUCUACGAUUUGCAAAACGGCGUCACAUUGAGGUCAUUCCAGAGAUUGACAUGCCAGGUCACAGUCACGCUGCAAUAAAGGCUAUGCAGGCUCGGUACUACAAGUUCCAAGAGGCCAACGAUACGGAAUCGGCAAAGGAAUAUCUGCUGACUGACUUCCAUGAUACUUCUAGUCUUUCUACAUCUGUUCAAAUGUAUUCUGAAAAUUCUAUGAAUCCUGGUUUGGAAUCGACGUAUAAUUUUGUCAAAAAAAUUGUGAAGGAGUUAAAGGAAAUGCAUGACGACAUCGAACCGUUGAAAAUAUUCCACUUCGGGGGAGACGAGGUACCAUAUAAGGCAUGGAAAAAGUCAGCUGCCUGUGAAAAACUUAUCGACACUGGAGAAGUUGAAUCGUUUGAUAAGCUGAUGGAGUACUUUGUUAAGAGGCUUGCGGAGGUGGUUGCUAAGCAGGGAUUGUCACUUGGUGCCUGGCAAGAUGGUCUCAUCCACAGUGGGACCACUCCCGUGGAAAGGACAGCGUUUCCAAGUGAGGAAGUGCUGGCUUAUGCAUGGCAGAAUGUGUGGGAGUCUGGUCUAGCCGGAUUCGCUUACAAACUUGCCAAUGCUGGCUAUAAGGUGGUUAUGUCUCAGGCGACCCACUUAUAUUUCGACCACCCUUAUGAACCUGACCCGGAGGAGAUUGGAUUGUAUUGGGCAACCCGGUACAUAGACACACGGAAAACAUUCAACUUCAUGCCAGACAACAUCUUCGCCAAUGCUGACGUAAAAUUGACGGGGAAAGUCCUCUCAAGAGAAGACGUUAAAAAGUGUAAUGAGGGCAAUGACGUACUAAUUGAAAAGCAAAAUGUGAUAGGUAUGCAGGGACAGCUGUGGAGUGAGCUUGUGAGGACCUCAGAUGCCCUUCACUCCAUGAUCCACCCACGCCUUCAGGCACUGGCCGAACGAGCCUGGCACAAAGCACCAUGGGAGGAAGUUGCUGACGUGGAUAAAAGGAAAGAAGACCAAACUGCAGACUGGACAAAGUUUUCGAACUCUCUUGGAUACAGAGAACUGCACAGGCUGGAUAAAAUGGGUGUGACUUAUCACAUUCCUCCUCCCGGGGCUAGGAUUGAAGGUGAUAAAUUAAGCGUGACAUCAGCCUACCCUGGACUCCCACUGUGUUACAGUACAGACAAUGGCACUACCUGGCAGGAUGUGAAAGACAGUGUCAAGGUUGACCCAGGGGUCACAGUGCAUAUUGUAUGCAAGUCCACAGACAGAUCACGGUCCAGUCGGAGGGUGACACUGACUGUUCCAGCAGCUAACUCUUCUCUGUGAUAGUCAUCGAUGGAAAUGACGUUGUGAUGAUACCGAUCUAUUAUACAAUAUUUUACUGGACUUGAACUUUUUACAAUCCUAUGUAUGACAUUAUGCUGAUUGUAAUACAUGUAUGAUCCCUAUGUACAGGGUACCACGGAAUUAGAUUAUAUAAGUUCGUGAGAGUACUGACAAUAAUUAGGAAACAAAAUUCAAAGUACAUCCACAAUAUUAUAUAAAUGUGAUCCAACCUUGUGCUUGAUAUUGCACUGAAUAACGUGCGUUAUUAAUUUUGUCUGCAAUCCUGUUCCUUGUUAAAGGCUCAUAACACUGAACAGAAUGCUGUAUAAUGCUUAAAUAGACUAUAACACUCUAGAUGAAAAAACAACCUUUUAAUAUAAAAAAAACCACAGUAUUGAGACUGUUUUUUCAUCUAGUGUUAAAUUUCUUUGAUAUAAACUAAAUAAACUAGGAAUUACUGGUAACCUCUUUUCAGCUAUAAAGUCUUUAUAUAAAAAUGUACUAAGCUGUGUGAGAGUAAAUGGAUUAAGUAUGGAGUGGUUUGACGUGACGUGCGGUUUAAAACAAGGAUGUACUUUAUCACCGAUUUUAUUCAACUUGUAUAUUAAUGACCUAAUAACAUAUUUGAAUAGUUUGGGGGCUGAUAUAGAGAUAACGGAGCAUAAAAUAUGUGCCCUACUCUAUGCAGAUGAUCUGGUGAUCAUGGCUAGUACUGAGCGUGGUCUCCAGUUAUUACUAAAUGGUCUUAAUACUUAGUGUGAAUCCAAUAAACUUAAUAUUAACGCUGAUAAGUCGGCUAUUGUACAUUUCCGUCCAACGUCUGUAACAGUCAGUGAUAGUAUGUUUUCGUGUGGGAAGCUAGACCUAGAAAUAUACAUACCUGGGUCUUACAUUUACGGAACACUUGGAUUUUAAUGUAACGGCAAAACUCGUGGCCAAAUCAGCGGGUAGAGCACUUGGUUUGUUAAUAGCUAAAUCUAAAUCAAUGGGAGGCUUACCAUAUAAAACCUUCACAAAACUGUAUGAGAGUACAGUGUGGCCAGUAAUUAGUUACGGUGCUGCUAUAUGAGGUACACGUACAUUUACGGUAGUUGUAUUGUGGCUAUUCAAAAUUGCGUAUGUAGAUUUUAUCUAGGCCUUGGUCGCUAUGCACCUAAUGUAGCUGUUAGCGGGGACAUGGGUUGGACUCCAGUUAUAGUGAACCAAUGGCAAGCUGUUUUUAGACAUUGGAGUCGUUUUCAUAAUCUGUCGGAUACUAGAUUGAAUAAGGCUGUAUUUACAUGGAGCGAGCAUAUAUCAGGUAACCACCGAAAUGAAAAUUGGAACUUCAGAGUAAUUUCCAGACUCGGGGAACUAGGCUUGGAUAACUAUAGCAUAGGUCCAAUUAAUAGUAAAAAUUUACUUAAGGACGCUAAGGUCCGUGGCUUGGAAUUGUUUAUUGAAAAUUGGAAAAGGGACCUUAACCGUCCCGGAGCCAAAACUUGUAUUUCUGGAGGUAACAAACUAAGUAUGUAAAGGUUAUUUAAGUUUAAUUAUGAGGUUGAAAAUUAUAAUAUGUUAGUAAUGCCUAAAUCACAUCGUAGUGCGCUAGCUAAGUUUAGGCGGGGGUUGCACCUUUGAGUGAAAGAAAGUGUUUCGCGUGUAAAAGCAUGGUAGAAACAGAGUCAUGUUUUAAUAGAAUGUAACUUGUAUGAUGAUCUCCGAUCGGGUCUAUUGCAGGAGGCUAAUAAAAUCACAAGUGAUUUUUACAAUAUGAGUAAAGAUGAAAAGUAAGCUGUAAUUCUAAGCAACCCUUACUUGGCGAGGUCCUGUGCCAAAACCUGUGCUAGUAUUCUUAAUCGACGUCGCAACUAGAUCUAUAAUUAAGCAGUAAUGUGUCUUUUAAUGUCAAUUAUUUUUAUAGUUUUAUAUUGGCAGAGUUUUUAAUUCAUAAGUAUGUACAUAUAUGUAAUACUUUUACAGUCUAGAAUCUAGAUAGGGGAAGAAGGAGUGUCUCGUAAGUCUAAUAUAGACUGGAUGUAAGGGUGGGUGACUAUAGACAUAUUUUAGAGAUUGUAAUACUUGUACCUUUUACAUGUGACACUAUAAUAAACUAAUUUGAAUUUGAAUUUAUAAUGUCAAACUCCUGUGGUUUACCUGGAAAGUUCAAGGAGGAGUACUGGGUUAGUGAGGCUUGACUGUAAUGGGUAUGUUGUUUCAAAGACUUGUGAUAUGUUCCCAGUUUUGGUUUGUUAAUUUUCCGAAUUCUGUGUGAAUCAUGGAUUUUGAAUUGAUAUGUGGUUACCUCUAACUUUGUAAGCCUAACUAUUAAUGUAGAAACAAUGCCUUGAUUUUGAUGUUGAUCAUGUGUUGCGUAUUAUCUGUUGAUCCAUUUGUAUACCUAUGUGUAGUGGGUAAUAUCUUGAGUCAAACAUUUUGCAAUUCUUUAGAGUUUAAAAAACUUAUUGAUGAGUCAUGAUUUUCAUACAUCUUGACAGCUGUAUUAAGUAAUCAGUAUGUGUCUAGACACUUACAAUUUUUAAUUAUCUAUAAUGUUUCCCCUUCUUGUGAUAACAAGAGUGUUCAUUAAACUUCAAUUUGAUUUUGAAAAUUUAAAAUGUCAAGAUAGCUAUGAUGGAAAUAUUUUUGAUGGUUUAUAGGCUUUCACUUAAAACGGAGAAAAUCAUUGUAUAGUAAAUAUAAGUAGUGUAGAAAGUUACAAAUGAAAAUAACUCUUUAGUUUGGCUCGGGUAACCAGACUGACUCAGGUAUGCUGAGAAACUCGGGUAUACUGAGUGACUCUGGUAUCCAGAGUGACUCAGGUAUAUGCCAUGAGUGACUCG